rnacentral:rRNA from 1 species
UACGUAAGUGGCGAGCGUUAUCCGGAAUCACUGGGCGUAAAGCGUGCGUAGGCGGUUUGGCAAGUUGGAUUUGAAAGCCCGGGGCUCAACUCCGGACCCGGAUCCAAAACUGCCAGACUAGAGCGGAUCAGAGGACAGUGGAAUUCCCGGUGUAGCGGUAAUAUGCGUAGAUAUCGGGAGGAACACCAGUGGCGAAGGCGACUGUCUGGGGUCUUGCUGACGCUGAGGCACGAAAGCCAGGGGAGCGAACGGG